CACAGCCAUUGUGGAAUUCAGUAAGAUUAGGACUCACCUUAUUCUUCACUUGUUUUCUCAGAGCAAAAUAUCUUGCAAAACCGCCAAGAGACCAAAACUCAACGCUGAACAUCCACUUCUUCAUUGACACAAUGUUAUCAAACAGGCAAAGUGAAGUCACGGUACGUAGAAGCGUUCGACUGACCAACGCAGGAUAUUACAACCAUCUAGGAAAACCAGUCAUUUCCUACAAGGAGACGGCUACGUACAAAAAAAGGAGGUUUUCUCCAGACGGUCUGAGAAAGUCCAUCGCCAAGACAAUCAGCAUGGCCAGCGGGAUCAUAGGGGCCAAUUGGGCCAUAGGGGCCAACGGGGCAAGUGGGGCCAACAGGGACAGCGGGGUCAACAGGGACAGCGGGGACAGCGGGGCCAACAGGGACAGCGGGGCCAGCGGGGCCAACAGGGACAGCGGGGCCAACAGGGACAGCGGGGCCAGCGAGGACAGCGGGGACAACAAGGACAGCGGGGGCAACUGGGCCAACGGGGCCAGCGGGGGCAACGGGGCCAGCGGGGGCAACGGGGCCUGCUGGAACGGCAUUAUUCGCUGGCUGUUCUUCAUGCUGCUCAUGUGUCUUGGAAUUGUAUACUUCACCCUGGCUCUAUCCAUGAACAGCAACUCUCUUGACUCAGGACCCUCAGCGUCACUUUUCCCAUCAACCAAGCGGGAUAAGGCCUUGAGCACAUAUGAAUGGAUGGGGGAGCGGAUGAGAAUGCUGCAGGACGAGGUGCUGAGGUUAAAGUGGGUCAAGGAGCCACCAGGGGACAUUAUGCCCAACGUUGCCCUGGAGUCGCAAGGGGCCCUUGUUUUAGCUCGAUUGUCCUCGGAAACAUACCAAUGCACCGGACCAACCUGUUUUCUUUCAUCCCUGAUAUCUCUUUGGAGACAACCUGUAGACCCAAGUAUUGUGACUCAGGGAGGACCAAUCGUGGAUGGACGCUGCUGGCCAUUUGAUGGUGAGCGUGGACAUUUAGUCAUAGCCCUGUCCCACCCAGUGACCAUCAGCCAUGUGACACUGGGUCACAUUUCAAAGACCGUGUCGCUAACUGGCAGCAUCUCGAGCAGCCCAAAGAUGUUUGCUGUCUAUGGCAUGAAGACUAAAGAGGAUGAAGGUACCCUACUAGGAACCUUUCUUUAUGAUCAGGACGGCGAGUCAUUGCAGACUUUCAAACUGUCUGAUCAGGAAGCAGGUGUCUUCAGCCAUGUGAAGCUGCAAGUCGAGAGCAACUGGGGAAAUCCUGACUACACUUGCGUGUACAAUUUCAGGGUCUAUGGGACCAUAUAGAAGACGGUGUUUGCUCCUAUAUGGGAUAUGGUGUACUGUGAGUGUUCACCAUACGAACCUGCUGGUUAGAGGUGUGGUGUGGUGUACUGUGAGUGUUCACCAUACGAACCUGCUGGGGAGAGGUGUG